GGGCGAUUAGCUCAGUUGGUAGAGCAGCUGACUCUUAAUCAGCGGGUCAAGGGUUCGAGUCCCUUAUCGCCCUCCA
rnacentral:tRNA from 1 species